GAUGAACGCUGGCGGCGUGCCUAAUACAUGCAAGUCGAGCGAACGGACGAGAAGCUUGCUUUUCUGAUGUUAGCGGCGGACGGGUGAGUAACACGUGGAUAACCUACCUAUAAGACUGGGAUAACUUCGGGAAACCGGAGCUAAUACCGGAUAAUAUUUUGAACCGCAUGGUUCAAAAGCGAAAGACGGUCUUGCUGUCACUUAUAGAUGGAUCCGCGCUGCAUUAGCUAGUUGGUAAGGUAACGGCUUACCAAGGCAACGAUGCAUAGCCGACCUGAGAGGGUGAUCGGCCACACUGGAACUGAGACACGGUCCAGACUCCUACGGGAGGCAGCAGUAGGGAAUCUUCCGCAAAGGGCGAAAGCCUGACGGAGCAACGCCGCGUGAGUGAUGAAGGUCUUCGGAUCGUAAAACUCUGUUAUUAGGGAAGAACAUAUGUGUAAGUAACUGUGCACAUCUUGACGGUACCUAAUCAGAAAGCCACGGCUAACUACGUG
rnacentral:rRNA from 1 species